rnacentral:rRNA from 1 species
UACGUAGGGCGCAAGCGUUUAAAGAGCUCGUAGGCGGCUUGUCACGUCGAUUGUGAAAGCCCGAGGCUUAACCUCGGGUCUGCAGUCGAUACGGGCUAGCUAGAGUGUGGUAGGGGAGAUCGGAAUUCCUGGUGUAGCGGUGAAAUGCGCAGAUAUCAGGAGGAACACCGGUGGCGAAGGCGGAUCUCUGGGCCAUUACUGACGCUGAGGAGCGAAAGCGUGGGGAGCGAACAGG